rnacentral:rRNA from 1 species
UACGAAGGGGGCUAGCGUUGCUCGGAAUCACUGGGCGUAAAGCGCACGUAGGCGGAUUGUUAAGUCAGGGGUGAAAUCCUGGAGCUCAACUCCAGAACUGCCUUUGAUACUGGCGAUCUUGAGUCCGAGAGAGGUGAGUGGAAUUCCCAGUGUAGAGGUGAAAUUCGUAGAUAUUGGGAAGAACACCGGUGGCGAAGGCGGCUCACUGGCUCGUAUCUGACGCUCAGGCGCGACAGCGUGGGGAUCAAACAGG